AAUUGAUCCAUUCAGAAAGUAUAUAUACAUGUGCUUUUGGAAAGUAUUCACACCCUUUGACUUAUUUCACAUUUUGGUGUGUUACAGCCUGAAUUCAAAAUAGAUUACAUAUGUUUUUCCCUCAUCCAUCUACACACAAUAUACCCUAUCAUGACAAAGUGAAAACAUGUUUUUUUAAAUGUUGGCAAAUGUAUUGAAAAUGAAACAGUAUUCACACCACCGAGUCAAUACUUUGUAGAAGCACCUUUAGCAGUGAUUACAGCUGUGCGUCUUUCUGGGUAAGUUUCUAAGAGCUUUCCACACCUGGUUGUGCAACACAACCCAGCUCUGUCAAGUUGGUUGUUGAUCAUUGCAAGACAACCAUUUUCAGGUCUUGCCAUAGAUUUUCAAGUAGAUUUAAGUCAAAACUGUAACUCGGCCACUCAGGAACAUUGACUGUCUUCUUGCUAAGCAACUCCAGUGUAGAUGUGGCCUUGUGUUUUAAGUUAUUAUCCUGUUGAAGGUUGAAUUGAUUUCCAAGUGUCUGGUGGAAAGCAGACUGAACCAGGUUUUCCUCUAGGAUUUUGCCUGUGCUUACCUCCAUUCCGUUUAUGUUUUAUCCUGAAAAACUCCCCCAGUCCUUAACGAUUAGAACCAUACUCAUAACAUGAUGCUGUCACCACUAUGCUAGAAAAUAUGGAGAGUGGUACUCAGUAAUGUGUUGUAUUGGAUUUGCCCCAAACAUAACACUUUGUAUUCAGGACCAAAAGUUAAUUCACAUUUUAUUGUGAUAUUAUUUUAGUGCGUUGUUGCAAACUGGUUCCUCUUUUUCACUAUGUCAAUGAGUUUAGUACUGUGGAGUAACUACAAUAUUAUUUAUUCUAUAUUCUACAAUAUUCUUCUAUCACAAUAUUCUUCUAUCACAGCCAUUAACCUCUGUAACUGUUUUAAAGUCACCAUUGGCCUCAUGGUGAAAUCACUGAGCGGUUUCCUUCCUCUCCGGCAACUGAGUUAGGAAGGACGCCUGUAUAUAGUGGAUGUAUCGAUACACCAUCCAAAGUGUAAUGAAUAACUUCAUCAUGCUCAAAGUAUUCAAUGACUGCUUUUUUGUUGUUUUUACCCAUCUACCAAUAUGUGCCCUUUUUUUAAUGUUUACCCAUCUACCAAUAUGUGCCCUUUUUUUAAUGUUUACCCAUCUACCAAUAGGUGCCCUUUUUUAAUGUUUACCCAUCUACCAAUAGGUGCCCUUUUUUUAAUGUUUACCCAUCUACCAAUAGGUGCCCUUUUUUAAUGUUUACC